rnacentral:rRNA from 1 species
UACGGAGGGUGCAAGCGUUAUCCGGAUUUACUGGGUUUAAAGGGUGCGUAGGUGGGUUGGGAAGUCAGUGGUGAAAUACUUUCGCUUAACGAAGGAACUGCCAUUGAUACUAUCAAUCUUGAAUGUAGUGGAGGUAGGCGGAAUGCGUCAUGUAGCGGUGAAAUGCUUAGAUAUGACGCAGAACACCAAUUGCGAAGGCAGCUAACUACGCGAUAAUUGACGCUGAGGCACGAAAGCGUGGGGAUCAAACAGG